UUAAGCGACUAAGCGUACACGGUGGAUGCCCUGGCAGUCAGAGGCGAUGAAGGACGUGCUAAUCUGCGAUAAGCGUCGGUAAGGUGAUAUGAACCGUUAUAACCGGCGAUUUCCGAAUGGGGAAACCCAGUGUGUUUCGACACACUAUCAUUAACUGAAUCCAUAGGUUAAUGAGGCGAACCGGGGGAACUGAAACAUCUAAGUACCCCGAGGAAAAGAAAUCAACCGAGAUUCCCCCAGUAGCGGCGAGCGAACGGGGAGCAGCCCAGAGCCUGAAUCAGUGUGUGUGUUAGUGGAAGCGUCUGGAAAGGCGCGCGAUACAGGGUGACAGCCCCGUACACAAAAAUGCACAUACUGUGAGCUCGAUGAGUAGGGCGGGACACGUGGUAUCCUGUCUGAAUAUGGGGGGACCAUCCUCCAAGGCUAAAUACUCCUGACUGACCGAUAGUGAACCAGUACCGUGAGGGAAAGGCGAAAAGAACCCCGGCGAGGGGAGUGAAAAAGAACCUGAAACCGUGUACGUACAAGCAGUGGGAGCACGCUUAGGCGUGUGACUGCGUACCUUUUGUAUAAUGGGUCAGCGACUUAUAUUCUGUAGCAAGGUUAACCGAAUAGGGGAGCCGAAGGGAAACCGAGUCUUAACUGGGCGUUAAGUUGCAGGGUAUAGACCCGAAACCCGGUGAUCUAGCCAUGGGCAGGUUGAAGGUUGGGUAACACUAACUGGAGGACCGAACCGACUAAUGUUGAAAAAUUAGCGGAUGACUUGUGGCUGGGGGUGAAAGGCCAAUCAAACCGGGAGAUAGCUGGUUCUCCCCGAAAGCUAUUUAGGUAGCGCCUCGUGAAUUCAUCUCCGGGGGUAGAGCACUGUUUCGGCAAGGGGGUCAUCCCGACUUACCAACCCGAUGCAAACUGCGAAUACCGGAGAAUGUUAUCACGGGAGACACACGGCGGGUGCUAACGUCCGUCGUGAAGAGGGAAACAACCCAGACCGCCAGCUAAGGUCCCAAAGUCAUGGUUAAGUGGGAAACGAUGUGGGAAGGCCCAGACAGCCAGGAUGUUGGCUUAGAAGCAGCCAUCAUUUAAAGAAAGCGUAAUAGCUCACUGGUCGAGUCGGCCUGCGCGGAAGAUGUAACGGGGCUAAACCAUGCACCGAAGCUGCGGCAGCGACGCUUAUGCGUUGUUGGGUAGGGGAGCGUUCUGUAAGCCUGUGAAGGUGUACUGUGAGGUAUGCUGGAGGUAUCAGAAGUGCGAAUGCUGACAUAAGUAACGAUAAAGCGGGUGAAAAGCCCGCUCGCCGGAAGACCAAGGGUUCCUGUCCAACGUUAAUCGGGGCAGGGUGAGUCGACCCCUAAGGCGAGGCCGAAAGGCGUAGUCGAUGGGAAACAGGUUAAUAUUCCUGUACUUGGUGUUACUGCGAAGGGGGACGGAGAAGGCUAUGUUGGCCGGGCGACGGUUGUCCCGGUUUAAGCGUGUAGGCUGGUUUUCCAGGCAAAUCCGGAAAAUCAAGGCUGAGGCGUGAUGACGAGGCACUACGGUGCUGAAGCAACAAAUGCCCUGCUUCCAGGAAAAGCCUCUAAGCAUCAGGUAACAUCAAAUCGUACCCCAAACCGACACAGGUGGUCAGGUAGAGAAUACCAAGGCGCUUGAGAGAACUCGGGUGAAGGAACUAGGCAAAAUGGUGCCGUAACUUCGGGAGAAGGCACGCUGAUAUGUAGGUGAAGCGACUUGCUCGUGGAGCUGAAAUCAGUCGAAGAUACCAGCUGGCUGCAACUGUUUAUUAAAAACACAGCACUGUGCAAACACGAAAGUGGACGUAUACGGUGUGACGCCUGCCCGGUGCCGGAAGGUUAAUUGAUGGGGUUAGCGCAAGCGAAGCUCUUGAUCGAAGCCCCGGUAAACGGCGGCCGUAACUAUAACGGUCCUAAGGUAGCGAAAUUCCUUGUCGGGUAAGUUCCGACCUGCACGAAUGGCGUAAUGAUGGCCAGGCUGUCUCCACCCGAGACUCAGUGAAAUUGAACUCGCUGUGAAGAUGCAGUGUACCCGCGGCAAGACGGAAAGACCCCGUGAACCUUUACUAUAGCUUGACACUGAACAUUGAGCCUUGAUGUGUAGGAUAGGUGGGAGGCUUUGAAGUGUGGACGCCAGUCUGCAUGGAGCCGACCUUGAAAUACCACCCUUUAAUGUUUGAUGUUCUAACGUGGACCCGUAAUCCGGGUUGCGGACAGUGUCUGGUGGGUAGUUUGACUGGGGCGGUCUCCUCCUAAAGAGUAACGGAGGAGCACGAAGGUUGGCUAAUCCUGGUCGGACAUCAGGAGGUUAGUGCAAUGGCAUAAGCCAGCUUGACUGCGAGCGUGACGGCGCGAGCAGGUGCGAAAGCAGGUCAUAGUGAUCCGGUGGUUCUGAAUGGAAGGGCCAUCGCUCAACGGAUAAAAGGUACUCCGGGGAUAACAGGCUGAUACCGCCCAAGAGUUCAUAUCGACGGCGGUGUUUGGCACCUCGAUGUCGGCUCAUCACAUCCUGGGGCUGAAGUAGGUCCCAAGGGUAUGGCUGUUCGCCAUUUAAAGUGGUACGCGAGCUGGGUUUAGAACGUCGUGAGACAGUUCGGUCCCUAUCUGCCGUGGGCGCUGGAGAACUGAGGGGGGCUGCUCCUAGUACGAGAGGACCGGAGUGGACGCAUCACUGGUGUUCGGGUUGUCAUGCCAAUGGCACUGCCCGGUAGCUAAAUGCGGAAGAGAUAAGUGCUGAAAGCAUCUAAGCACGAAACUUGCCCCGAGAUGAGUUCUCCCUGACCCUUUAAGGGUCCUGAAGGAACGUUGAAGACGACGACGUUGAUAGGCCGGGUGUGUAAGCGCAGCGAUGCGUUGAGCUAACCGGUACUAAUGAACCGUGAGGCUUAACCUU
rnacentral:rRNA from 1 species